rnacentral:rRNA from 1 species
UUCUAGAAUUGUUGCGGUUAAAAAGCUCGUAGUUGCAUUUGUGUGCCGCACUGCCGGUCCAUCGCUCACGCGGUGCGACUGGCAGGCUUGCGGGGCAUAUCGCCGGUGAGCGGCCGGUAAAACGGCGUGCUCAACUGAAAUCCUGUGCGCCUGCUCUUCGCUGAGUGUCGAGAUGGGCCGGCAAUUUUACUUUGAACGAAUUAGAGUGCUCAAAGCGGGCUAUCGUUUGGAUAAAGGUGCAUGAAGCAUGGAAUAAUGGAAUAUGAUCAUGGUUUUAUUUUGUUGGUUUUAGAGACCAAGAUAAUGAUUAAUGGAAGCAACUGGGGGCAUUCGUAUUGCGACGUUAGAGGUGAAAUUCUUGGAUCGUCGCAAGACGGACCACUGCGAAAGCAUUUGCCAAAGGUGUUUUCAUCAAUCAAGAACGAAAGUUAGAGGUUCGAAGGCGAUUAGAUACCGCCCUAGUUCUAACCAUAAAUGUUGCUGUCUAACGAUCCGCCGACGUUAACUCUAAUGGCUCGGCGGGCAGCUUAC